rnacentral:rRNA from 1 species
CGCUGGCGGCGUGCUUAACACAUGCAAGUCGAACGAUGAAGCCCAGCUUGCUGGGUGGAUUAGUGGCGAACGGGUGAGUAACACGUGGGUGAUCUGCCCUGCACUCUGGGAUAAGCCUGGGAAACUGGGUCUAAUACCGGAUAUGACCUCGGGAUGCAUGUUCUGGGGUGGAAAGUUUUUCGGUGCAGGAUGAGCCCGCGGCCUAUCAGCUUGUUGGUGGGGUAAUGGCCUACCAAGGCGACGACGGGUAGCCGGCCUGAGAGGGCGACCGGCCACACUGGGACUGAGACACGGCCCAGACUCCUACGGGAGGCAGCAGUGGGGAAUAUUGCACAAUGGGCGCAAGCCUGAUGCAGCGACGCCGCGUGAGGGAUGACGGCCUUCGGGUUGUAAACCUCUUUCACCCAUGACGAAGCGCAAGUGACGGUAGUGGGAGAAGAAGCACCGGCCAACUACGUGCCAGCAGCCGCGGUAAUACGUAGGGUGCGAGCGUUGUCCGGAAUUACUGGGCGUAAAGAGCUCGUAGGCGGUUUGUCGCGUCGUCUGUGAAAUCCCGCAGCUCAACUGCGGGCUUGCAGGCGAUACGGGCAGACUCGAGUACUGCAGGGGAGACUGGAAUUCCUGGUGUAGCGGUGAAAUGCGCAGAUAUCAGGAGGAACACCGGUGGCGAAGGCGGGUCUCUGGGCAGUAACUGACGCUGAGGAGCGAAAGCGUGGGUAGCGAACAGGAUUAGAUACCCUGGUAGUCCACGCCGUAAACGGUGGGCGCUAGGUGUGGGUUUCCUUCCACGGGAUCCGUGCCGUAGCCAACGCAUUAAGCGCCCCG